CUUCGAUGUCGAAGUUCAUGUACAGAGGUUCCUCUUCAUCGAUGAUGGUGAAAUUCAAUAUCAGAUGAACUCAGAGCUAUGAAUCCACAGUUGAAUACCUCAUCGCCAUCGAUUUAAAGCUUUUCAUCCUAAAAGCUCUAUUAGGAAUUACGUAAGCUUCCUGUACAGUUACUCUAACUGAUUGUCGAUGCAUCGAGCCUUUCUUCUUCAGUAGCCAAAAGAGAUCGAGAACAAGAUAAACUUCACAAUAGGAGGCGAAGUUCGCGAUCAGACUUGGGGCCCAGGUAGGCUAGGCUAAACUGAGUAGUUAGAGUUUUCUUCUAUUUCAUCAAUAUUUUUGUAGAUUGACGGUAGGUUUCAUGCCUGGACCUUUGGGCACAGAGUCUAGAUGGUUGGAAACGUGUUAGUUAUUGCUGUUUUUAGGACAAAAAUAUAUUGGGUAGGUAAUGAUUAUUCUCAGAAAUAAGAAGGAAUUCUCAGAAAUGAAUGUGUACUCAUAAUGGGGUCCAACAUCGACCUUUUGUUGUAAUGAUUGAUGUAUAGUGUAAUCUUAAGUUUUAAGAAAUAAU